UCCGGCAUAGCUCAGUUGGUAGAGCAGUCGGCUGUUAACCGACUUGUCACAGGUUCGAGUCCUGUUGCCGGAG
rnacentral:tRNA from 3 species